CCUACGGGCGGCAGCAGUGAGGAAUAUUGGUCAAUGGCCGGGAGGCUGAACCAGCCAAGUCGCGUGAGGGAAGACGGCCCUACGGGUUGUAAACCUCUUUUGUCAGGGAGCAAGGUGCAGGUCGGGACCUGCUGUGAGAGUACCUGAAGAAAAAGCAUCGGCUAACUCCGUGCCAGCAGCCGCGGUAAUACGGAGGAUACGAGCGUUAGCCGGAUUUAUUGGGGUUAAAGGGUGCGCAGGCGGAGGCACAAGUCAGCGGUAAAAUCGCGGGGCUCAACCCCGCUCCGCCGUUGAAACUGUGUGCCUUGAGUGCGCGAAGGGUAGGCGGAAUGCGUGGUGUAGCGGUGAAAUGCAUAGAUAUCACGCAGAACUCCGAUCGCGAAGGCAGCCUACCGGCGCGCAACUGACGCUCAUGCACGAAAGCGUGGGUAUCGAACAGGAUUAGAUACCCCAGUAGUC
rnacentral:rRNA from 1 species